rnacentral:rRNA from 1 species
UAGGGAAUCUUCGGCAAUGGGGGGAACCCUGACCGAGCAACGCCGCGUGAGUGAAGAAGGUUUUCGGAUCGUAAAGCUCUGUUGUUAAGGAAGAACGAGUGUGAGAAUGGAAAGUUCAUACUGUGACGGUACUUAACCAGAAAGGGACGGCUAACUACGUGCCAGCAGCCGCGGUAAUACGUAGGUCCCGAGCGUUGUCCGGAUUUAUUGGGCGUAAAGCGAGCGCAGGCGGUUAGAUAAGUCUGAAGUUAAAGGCAGUGGCUCAACCAUUGUAGGCUUUGGAAACUGUUUAACUUGAGUGCAGAAGAUGAGAGUGGAAUUCCAUGGGUAGCGGUGAAAUGCGUAGAUAUAUGGAGGAACGCCGGUGGCGAAAGCGGCUCUCUGGUCUGUAACUGACGCUGAGGCUCGAAAGCGUGGGGAGCGAACAGG